rnacentral:lncRNA from 1 species
GAUUACCUAUAAGGCAUAUCCUGCGAGCUAAUCAGCUGAUUGUAGAGGAUGACUUUAUGAUUGUGGUGUCCUGACUUCAAGGGUAUGAGAGGGUUUGCUGCUCAUCCCUUCUUUCAGAACAUGGCGAUUUUGUUCACUGGGUAUACUGUCCUGAUUAAUAGACACACUUUUUGAGAAGUGAACGAAUUGGAUGGCAGCGUUUGUAGUGGAGCAUUCAGGAGAUACAGACUCCAAGUUGCCCCACGUUUCCUCAAAGAUUUUUUUUCUAAUCUUUUUAAAUAUAUUUAUAUAAAAAUUAUAUAAAUGAUCUAUUUUUUAUUAAAAAAAUUACGAUGGCGGUAAAUCUUUGGAGUCUGUUCUAUUCUUUUUCUAAUUAUAGCAAAAGAAAAUUCUUGGACCAU